rnacentral:rRNA from 1 species
GACAGAGGUGCCGAGCGUUAGGCGGAAUCACUGGGCUUAAAGCGUGUGUAGGCGGAUCGUUAAGUACCUUGUGAAAUCCCACGGCUCAACCGUGGAACUGCUGGGUAUACUGGCGGUCUUGAGCCACCUAGGGGCGAGCGGAACAAGCGGUGGAGCGGUGAAAUGCGUAGAUAUCGUUAGGAACUCCGGUGGCGAAGGCGGCACGCUGGACCUUUUCUGACGCUGAGGCACGAAAGCCAGGGGAGCGAACGGG